GAGUUUGAUCCUGGCUCAGGAUGAACGCUAGCUACAGUGCUUAACACAUGCAAGUCGAAGGGCACGCUCACGAUAACUCGCUAUUGUUGAUAGCGACCGGCGCACGGGUGAGUAACGCGUAUCCAACCUUCCCGUUGCUACGGGAUAACCUUGCUAAAGUAAGACUAAUACCCUAUGAUGUGCUUCGCAGACAUCUAACGAGAACUACAGAUUGAUCGGCUACGGAUGGGGAUGCUUCUGAUUAGGUUGUUGGCGGGGUAACGGCCCACCAAGCCCACCAUCAGUACGGGUUCUGACAGGAAGGUCCCCCACAUCGGAACUGAGACACGGGCACAACUCCUACGGGACGCACCAGUGAGGAAUAUUGGUCAUUGGACGGAAGUCUGAACCACCCAAUUACCGUGCACGAUGACAGUCCUAUGGGUUGUAAACUGCUUUUAUGUGGGAAUAAAGUGAGGGACGUGUCCCUUCUUGUAAGUACCACAUGAAUAACGACCGGCUAAUUCCGUGCCAACUGCCGCGGUAAUACGGAAGGUCCGGGCGUUAUCCGGAUUUAUGGGGCUUAAAUGGAGCGUAAGCCGUCUANUAAGCGUGUUGUGAAAUACUGUCGCUCAACGACAGAGGUGCAGCGCUAACUGGGAGACUAGAGUGCGCGGAAUGCAAGCGGAAUUCGUCGUGUAGCGGUUAUAUGCUUAGAUAUGACGAAGAACUCCGAUUGCGAAGGCAGCUUGCAUUAGCGUAACUGACGCUGAAGAUCGUAAGUGCGGGUAUCGACUAGGAUUAGAUACAGUGCUAGUCCGCACGGUAGACGAUGGAUGCUCGGUGUGUGCCUUGGGGUACGCGGCCAAGCGAAAGCGUNAAGCAUCCCACCUGGGGAGUACGCCGGCAACGGUGAAACUCAAGGGAAUUGACGGGGGCCCGCACAAGCGGAGGGACAUGUGGUUUAAUUGGAUGAUACGCGAGGACCCUUACCCGUGCUUGCAUCGCAGGAGCAGGAUACAGAGAUGUCGAGGUCCUUCGGGACUCAUGUGAAGGUUGGUGCAUGGUUGUCGUCAGCUCGUGCCGUGAGGAGUCGGGGUUAAGUGCCAUAACGAGCGCAACCCCUUAUCUGUAGUAGCCAUGCAGGUGAUGAUGGGCACUCUACGGACACUGCCACGGAUAAGGUGUGAGGAAGGUGGGGAUGACGUCAAAUCAGCACGGCCCUUACGUCCGGGGCUACACACGUGUUACAAUGGGUCAUACAGAGUGUUGUGCGUAUGCGAAUACGUACUAAUCACUAAAAUGAUCUUCAGUUCGGAUUGGGGUUUGCCACCUGACCCCAUGAAGCUGGAUUUGGUUGGUAUUGCGCAUCAGCCAUGGCGCGGUGAAUACGUUCCCGGGCCUUGUACACACCGCCCGUC
rnacentral:rRNA from 1 species